rnacentral:misc_RNA from 1 species
GAUGAAGAACGUAGUGAAAUGCGAUAAGUAAUGUGAAUUGCAGAGUUUUGUGAAUCAUCGAAUCUUUGAACGCACAUUGCGCCCCUCGGUAUUCCGACGGGCAUGCCUGUCCGAGCGUCGUUUGCAACCCAUCGAGUAACACUUCUCGGUCUUGGGCGCCGUCCGCCCCCUCGGGGGAUCGGACGGGCCCCAAAGCCCUCGGCGGCCCCGCGUGCCCCGCCGGAGCGUCUUCGAAAGCAAUCGCUCCGGCGCGUCGCGCCCCGGGACCAAGCCGGCACCGCGGCCCCCCCAAAGGGGUCGCACCCCCAACACCAAACGUCUGACCUCGGAUCAGGUAGGGCUACCCGCUGAACUUAAGCAUAUCAAUAAGCGGAGGA